GCCUCUGUAACUCAGCGGUAGAGUGUCUGACUUGUAAUCAGGUUGUCGAGGGUUCAAAUCCCUCCAGAGGCU
rnacentral:tRNA from 1 species